GAAUUCAGUAGCUAGUAAGAGCUAGAGAAGUUUGUUUGUUGGUUUGUUUUGAUUUAAGAGUUCCAGUGUUAUCUAAUUAUUACAAGUUCAAACAAUGAGCUGUUUAUUAGGAAUGCAGCAAAAAUAGCUUGUAGGUAUAUAACAGAGAAAUAAUUUGAUGUGAAUUAUAGUUUGUUUCUAUGAGAAGUGAUGUAUUCAAACUUCAGACUAAUUCUUAAUAUUAGCAUCAAUAUAUUGAAACUAUACACGUGAACAAGUAAAAUUAAGAUGUAUUGUUAUAGAGUUUUCAACACUGUAUCAUUGGUAUUUUAUAAUCUGUAAAGUAUAUGAUAACUCUUAUAUUAUAACUAUAUUAAUUCAAAUCCUUGUUCAUU
rnacentral:lncRNA from 1 species